rnacentral:rRNA from 1 species
AGAGUUUGAUCCUGGCUCAGAAUCAACGCUGGCGGCGUGCCUAACACAUGCAAGUCGAACGCGAAAGGGGCUUCGGCCCUGAGUAGAGUGGCGAACGGGUGAGUAACACGUGGGUGAUCUACCUUCGAGUGGGGGAUAACGUUCCGAAAGGAGCGCUAAAACCGCAUGACGUUCCGGGUUUGAAGACCGGGAAACCAAAGUCGGGGCCCUUAGGGAAACUUAAGGCCUGGCGCUCGGAGAGGAGCCCGCGCCUGAUUAGCUAGUUGGUGGGGUAAUGGCUCACCAAGGCAACGAUCAGUAGCCGGCCUGAGAGGGCGGACGGCCACACUGGGACUGAGACACGGCCCAGACUCCUACGGGAGGCAGCAGUGGGGAAUUGUUCGCAAUGGGCGCAAGCCUGACGACGCAACGCCGCGUGGAGGAUGAAGGUCUUCGGAUUGUAAACUCCUGUUGACCGGGAAGAACGGGUCUCGAGCGAAUAGCUCGAGGCAGUGACGUACCGGUGAGG